rnacentral:rRNA from 1 species
UACAGAGGUCUCAAGCGUUGUUCGGAUUCAUUGGGCGUAAAGGGUGUGUAGGUGGCGCGCUAAGUCGGGUGUGAAAUUUCGGAGCUUAACUCCGAAACUGCAUUCGAUACUGGCGUGCUUGAGGACUGGAGAGGAGACUGGAAUUUACGGUGUAGCAGUGAAAUGCGUAGAUAUCAGGAGGAACACCUGUGGUGUAGACAGCUUACUGGACCACUUCUGACGCUGAGACACGAAAGCGUGGGUAGCAAACAGG